UCCAGGUACAAAAAAAGUGUGGAUAAGAGACGAGGUAAACGAAGACAAAGCCCGAUUCAGUUCUCUGCCUGUGUUCGGAGGAGGAAUGGAAAAUCUACCGUUAACUUCCUGCUCGGCUCUGUGACGUGUUUGUUGACGGAACCGUCGGUGCCUAAAAUAAGUGCAUUAGUCACUGCUGCAAUUACAUUAACUUUUAAACUUUAUUGAUCAGAAUGAUUCAUCAUAUAUGAAAGUAAGGAGGCGCCGACUAUGCUGUUUGUUAUUUCAACUGGAUGAACCAGACACAUUUUAAUCUAGAGCAACAGAGGAAGAGCUGAAACUAAGGUUUUAGGCGUUGACUACAUUAGGUGCGUCAUAUAUUCGAGUGGACACACACACACACACACUAUUUUGUUAAGUUGCUGUUUUGUUUUUGGGGUUUUUUUUAGCAAAGGAAAGGAAGUCAGUGAAGAAGCCCAUCUGAAGCAGUGAACACACACACCCACCCAGAGCAGUGGGCAGCCAUGCUAACAGCGCCCGGGCAGCAGUUGGGGGUUCGAUGCUUCGCUCAAGGGCAUCUCAGCCCAAGGCCGUCCCAUAUUAACCUAACCACACGUCAAGAAGAAAGAUUAUCAUCCCAUGUCUCUAAUUAAAAGGUGCAUUUAUUAUCUAUGUUGGGGAGUUCUGCAGGGUUGUCUUAAAGGCUGGGUUAUACUGGAUAAUAUACAUUGAAAAUAUUGGAAAAUGCUGGAAUUUCACUUUAGAAAAGCUUCACAGACCCUCCUCAAAAUACCAGUAAAAGUAACUUGAGUAAGUAAUGUGGUGACCAAUAAAGUAACUUGAUGACUUCAACGCAACAA